ACGGGAGGCAGCAGUGGGGAAUAUUGCGCAAUGGGGGAAACCCUGAUGCAGCGAUGCCGCGUGGAGGAAGAAGGUUUUCGGAUUGUAAACUCCUGUCUUAAAGGACGAUAAUGACGGUACUUUAGGAGGAAGCUCCGGCUAACUGCGUGCCAGCAGCCGCGGUAAUACGUAGGGAGCGAGCGUUGUCCGGAAUUACUGGGUGUAAAGGGAGCGUAGGCGGGACUGCAAGUCAGACGUGAAAUGCCGGGGCUUAACCCCGGAGCUGCAUUUGAAACUGUGGUUCUUGAGUGAAGUAGAGGCAAGCGGAAUUCCUGGUGUAGCGGUGAAAUGCGUAGAUAUCGGGAGGAACAUCAGUGGCGAAGGCGGAUUACUGGACGACAACUGACGCUGAGACACGAAAGCGUGGGGAGCAAACAGGAUUAGAUACCCUGGUA
rnacentral:rRNA from 1 species